rnacentral:lncRNA from 1 species
GGGGAAGUUAUGUUAUUAUAAUAGACGGGAGCAAUGCUAAAAUAAAAAAACAAUUUUGUUUAGUAGUGAACUGAAAAUAACUAACAUUACGUCACACAAAUAUAAUUCUCUUAUUCCAUAUGGAUGAAGUAAACUAUGAUAUGUUGAACAAACAAAACCUAUCUCUGCUACUACGUCAACCUCAUAUCCAUGAGGUUGUGCUAUAGCAACUUUAAGAGGCUCGAAAGCAACACGUAGCAACAAAUGAAUGCAGAUGUCUGAACUCCUUCAAUUGAUGGGUUCUGUAAGGAAAAUGGCCCUAGGCCAUUAUGAUUUUGGUGAU